GGGCGAUUAGCGCAGUUGGUAGCGCAUCACAUUGACGUUGUGAGGGUCACGUGUUCGAGUCACGUAUCGCCCA
rnacentral:tRNA from 2 species